GCCAGGUGCGGUGGCGCACACCUGUGAUCCCAGAAGCUCAGGAGGCUGAGGCAGGAGGAUCUCCUUCAAAGCCGGCCUCAGCAACUUAGCAAGACCCUCAGAACUUGAUGAGACCCUGUCUCAA
rnacentral:sRNA from 1 species